UUCACUCACAUUUUACAAAGAAGACAGAUGAAGGGUCAUAUAUGAUUCACAUAUGUGAAUACAUGACAUUAAUAAUCAUUUUGGCUAUAGCUUAUGUAGCGUAGGCUAGCCUAUAUUCAACACAGCAGUGAGAAAUAUAACAAAGAAGGUUGAUGAAACCAUUGGUUGUGGAUGUCCCUUGAGAACCAAACAAAAGACUCCACUGUGCACUUCCUCGCAAACCAACCCGCAUCACUUCUAGUUUCAAUGAGUUUGCCUGCAGCCUACGACUUCAAAGGUAGCUUGUAACUCCCUGAAAAUAUGGCGGACCGAGGACGCCACUUGACAAGCCUCUAAAAAGAUACCGUAAAGAAUCAACCUACAUCAUGAACGUGGUUCCAACCGUGAAAAGUAGAAACUGCACUUCCAGAUGUUUGUGUGCAGCUGCUGUACUGUCAGCCUGUGUCUCCUGAAGGCAUCCUCCCUACCGCUGGAGCUGGAGGGCAUGUCCACACAGGCCACAAUAUUUUCAUGCAAACAUCGUCCAAUAAGGCCUGGUGAGAGCGACGGGAUGUGAAACUCUCUCUUUCCACACACCAGUUAGCUCACUUACAUUGCUCAAUCACCAGAUCUCUGUCACACACACACAAACACAAAAGCAUGAUGCAACUGUUCCACAAAGCCUGAAAUAAUCAUUUUGGGGCGGGGCACCAGAAGAAUCUCUCC